UACUCCAGAAUAUGGCAAUCAUG
rnacentral:miRNA from 1 species